ensembl:scaRNA
UGGUCAAUGAUGACGUGACCACUGCACAAUCUGAGUUCUAGGAACCAGGUGAUGGAGUGUGUGCUGAGAGCUGACUGUGAGACUG